UAUACUGACAUUACUCUGUUUUCCCAAAAUAACAGAUGCUGCAGAAGCAUUUUCCGGCAAAGUGAUUUGAUUAUCUCGUUUCUGAACCAGGUCCACCUCUUCGCCGCCCCCUGCCCGGACUCCCCCGCAUGCCCCAGAAGUGGCAGGGUGGCCCCAUUGUCAGCUUUAAGGCCCAUCCGGCCAGCAGUGCAGGGUGCUCGACUGAGCUACAGGCGGCACGCACACGGAGGAAUUCUCAUCAGA